GGUUUCCUGUUUCAACAGUGCUUGAACGGAAUGC
rfam:Tupaia chinensis contig93955, whole genome shotgun sequence.